UCCCUUUCAGAGUCACACCUGGAGAGUUUUCAGUACUCUACCAGUCUUGACUACAGGAGGGAGAGUCAAGCAGAGGCCUGUCCAUUCCAUUCCUAGCUUGGCCAGUGGCUAGUGAGUGCAAGGUUAUCUGCUACAAGU